rnacentral:rRNA from 1 species
AAUGAACGCUGGCGGCAUGCCUAACACAUGCAAGUCGAACGAAAACAUGGGGAGCUUGCGCCCCUGAGGUUGGCGGGGGACGGAUGAGUAACACGUGGAUCACAUACCUCUAAGACUGGGGUGAUAACGGGAAACCGGAUCUACUAACGGAGAAUAUAUCGAACCGGAUGGUGCAAUAGUUAAAGGCGGUUUUGGUGUCAGUAAUAGCCGAAGCCGGGCCGGAUUAGCUAGUUGGUAAGGUAACGGCUUACCAAGGCAACGAUGCGGAGCCGACCUGAGAGGGUGAUCGGCCACACUGGAACUGAGACACGGUCCAGACUCCUACGGGAGGCAGCAGUAGGGAAUCUUCCGCAAUGGGCGAAAGCCUGACGGAGCAACACCGCGUGAGUGAUGAAGGUCUUCGGAUCGUAAAGCUCUGUUGUUAGGAAAGAACAAAUGCGUAUUUAACCAUGCACGUCUUGACGGUACCUAAACAGAAAGCCCCGGCUAACUACGUG